CAGAUUAUGGAUUUUUGUGAUCUACAACCUGCAAUACAAUGGAUGUGUUCAUCAGUGACAAUACGUAACUCUCCACCUGGAUUGGAACAUUUGGCUGGGAUAAAUCAAUUAAUAGUGUGUCAACGUUUUGAUUUGGAAGGAAGAAAAAGAUGAAGAGGACAAAAUUUAAUAUAACUCAAAACAUAACAGUAAUGGGUCAACUUCUCUGGAGUCAAAAUUAUACAG